AUACGGAGGGUGCAAGCGUUAUUCGGAAUUACUGGGCGUAAAGCGCGUGUAGGCGGUCCUGCAAGUCUGGUGUGAAAGCCCCGGGCUUAACCCGGGAAGUGCAUUGGAAACUGUGGGACUUGAGUACUGGAGAGGAUGGGGGAAUUCCCGGUGUAGAGGUGAAAUUCGUAGAGAUCGGGAGGAAUAUCAGUGGCGAAGGCGCCCAUCUGGACGGUAACUGACGCUGAGACGCGAAAGCGUGGGGAGC
rnacentral:rRNA from 1 species